rnacentral:lncRNA from 13 species
GGAUUACACUUCUCAACGCACUUGGAGCGGCCCCAGCGCCGCCGUCUGUGUGCGGAGCGCUGAGCGAACUUGGGGAACUGCGGGGUGCGGGAUGGAGACAGCCGGGGUCGAGGGGUGCGCUUCCCAAGUCCCGUCCGCUGCUCAGAGCAUCCCCAAGAUUUUCAUCAUGGGUGCUGUCCUGGUUAUGUUUAACAGUUUCCAGAAAACCUGUUGGUUUGAAGAACAAAGAUUCGUGUAAUUAUUGUACCUUGAGAGCUGGAAAGGGCUCGCAGAGAUGAUAUAAGUGGAUUUAAACUUUUCAGGGCCGUAGACACUCUUCAGGAAUUGAUAAAACGUUGACACACCUCGUAAAAUAUGAACACAUCAAAAUUAUGCCCGCAGUUUGAGACUGUGAAGAUAUUCAUGGAAAACUAUACAUAUUUUCAUCCUACAAAUUACGAAGACAGUGAUGUCCAGGACAUAAUUGCAAGAUGAAGCCCCAGCCUUUUAGCAAUAUUCAAGGAAUCUUGGAAGUUUCAUGCUACUUUUAAUGGAAAGGAAAAUGACAGAACCAAAGUCAAAGGAGAAAAGAAAAAAAGAGAAAACAAGUCCUAGCAAGAUCUUACCAAAUCCUUUCGUCAUGGUCUGUUUUGUUGCACUCAUAUGGGUGUUACUGCAAAGCUCUUCUUCUCUGCUCUGGCUCUUCUGACUAGGAAC